GCCUGGGUGGCUCAGUUGGUUAAGCGUCAGACUUCGGCUCAGGUCAUGAUCUCGAGGUCCGUGAGUUCGAGCCCCGCUUCGGGCU
rnacentral:tRNA from 1 species